UAUUUUUUUGUUAGUGGGUGGUGUACAAACAAGAGAUAGAAUGACAGAUGCCAUCUAUAUGUUUUACAAAAACACCUCUUGCUUGUGCAUGUGUAAGCAGAGUCAGGUUUGACAAAAUGCAAAGAGAUGUCUUACAGAUGGCGCAUGUGAGGAGGACAGGUCUUCUCAAGCUGAUGAGGCUGUAAAAGCAGUUGUCAUGAGUAUGUGCAAGUCUGCCACACCUGUUCUUCAAGGAAAUUCCCACUGAUGAGAAGACAGAAGUCCAAAAUAUGGAAGAGAGAUGACCACAGUCACAAAUCCGAGAAAUUCAGUUGCUUCCAUUUCUUUAAAGUUGGAGACUUAAAAAUUAUGGCGUUCUUGAAGCGGAACACUGUGAGUUAUAUCAAAAAAGGUACUGGCGUUCAUAAACACUGACAGGCAGAUGGAUUUCCAACAAGUGGAAACACAGAGCUACACUGGCAAAAAGCAGCAGCCAGCAAGCAUUUUAAUCGUGAUUUGGCUCAUCAGUGCUUGUUCUGACUCCACAGAAGUUCAUCUUUAGGAAGCACCUUCUACCAAAUGGAAAGCUGGCAAGAAGUAAUGCUUGAGAUUGCUGACACUGAACCAGAGCGUACUUAAAAUUGAAAAAACAUUUCCCCCUAUUAUUUGUUUGGAUAUAUCUCGAAGAACCCCAAACAGAAAAGCAAUAUUUAAAUUUGAUUUUGUCCAAAACAUUCUUGCAAUUCUAAUACCCUACCUACUCUGUGUCCAGGA